UCGGAUAUGGUGUAACGGCUAACAUUGCUGCCUCUCAUAUCUACAGCCAACAGUUCUGCGCGGCAGCUCGGGGUUUGAUUCCCCGUAUCCGAA
rnacentral:tRNA from 1 species